ensembl:lncRNA
GGGGCGCUCCUCCUCUGCAGCGGAGAGGGAAAGGGAAAGCGAAAGGGAAAGAGCAGGCGAUGUCCCCGCAGUGGGGCCGGGGCAGGCGGCACACGCAGCCCGCAGCGGGGGGCAGCACAGCCAAAAGCCUUCUUGAGGAGGUCGGUAAACAUGGCAGUGACUGUCCCAGUCUGCGUGGCUUUUCUUCUGAGAUAAACAACGCGGUACAAAAUAGCUGACGUUUCACGUGCUGCAGUUGCAGCAUCUUCCUCUGAAGGAGCACUGCGGUUAAUGAUGCACGCACGUGGUCAUACCCAGGAGAUGCACAGGGUGAGGUCCCACCAGGACACCCCUCACCACGGGGAUGCAGCAGUUGAUUCUGGGGUCCCGUGGCAGCUCCACAUCCACAGUGACCAAAGGGCCCACAGGAACAGUGGCCCUGGAGGUAGCUGGUGACUGAAGACUGCUGGAUUGCUCCAUACCUGGAUGAGAUGUGUGAGGUCGCCGGGGAUGCUGGUGGCUGUGGGUCUCCUGAUGACCACAGCCAAGGCAGGCCAGGUUGGAUGGGGCCUUGGCAACCUGAGCUGGAUUUCAGCCUCCAGAUUUCAGCCCCCCAAAUGUGCCAAGCGUGAGCCUUCAGCGAGAGCUUCAUCCACGCAACCCAUGCUGGACUAACUCAUCCCAGUCCAACCGUUCCCUGCAGCAGGAGUUUUGCGUUCAUGGAAGCACCUGGUGUAUUAGAAGUUGGUUUUGGAAUGCACUCACAGUGCCAACAGCCACAGUGACCGUCCUGCUGCCGGGCUGAGCAGUGGGGGGCUCUGCACUGGGGGAUGGAGCCUGAGCUGUGGCCUUGGGACCUGGCUGAGUUUCCCUGCUUCCAGCUGGGGGAUGGGGACAUCAGGAACAGGACGCAUCUAGGAACAGGAGCAGGUGCUGCCUUGCUUACCAUGGGGCUUUAAAGGCCAGGCUCACCCCAGCAAGGCAGUGGGUCCUCAGUUAGCUGCCCAGCUCCUUGUAAGGUCAUAUUUGUCAUCUCAAAAUACAGUUUGCUGUAGAACAGAGAAUAUUUAGAAGGGAUUUGAUAAGUAACAUCUGCUGCUGUACUGAAAUUUCAGUUCGAAGUGCUAAAAACUUUAAAAAGAAAGAGGUUUGGGUAAAAAUAAAAGGUCUCUGGAGAGGUCUCCUUGGCAGGAUCCUCCUCUCCUCCUUACACACAGCAGAUUUGUUCAUGUUUGUCAUUAUCCAUCAAACCAGAGCGCAGCAAAGGGCAGCUUUCAAGAGAUGAACCUGGAGGAGAUAAUAUUUCGCACCGCAUAAAAUGCACCUCGGGAAUUUUCGGUUCUUCUUCCCUGUUACAUUACAAGGGCCUUCAUAAAAAGUGUCACAGCUCACGAGCUAAAAAAGAAAAAGAAGAAAAGAGAAAAAAAAAAAAAAAAAAGCAGCAGCUUGUGGCUUUGGAUGCAUUCAGUGCGCGUUUGUGGUCGGCGUUUCCCAGGCUGCUCGGGGGUGAGCGCCAGGUCGGCCCUCGCACGGCGCUCUGCAGGCGCUGUUUCUGUAUGAGUGAUAGCAGGCACUGAACGGCAGCACUGCGGCUGAAGGCUCCAUCCUGCCCAGGGGGUUGGGAUGGGGAUGCAGCUCCCAGCCGCCCCGCUGCUGCUGCUGUGUUCAAUGAGGUGGGAGUGGGCGCUAACCCGGGGUUUGAGGGAUAUAAGUAGGUUUUGCCUCCUCUAACGGAGAGGUUUGGCUUCAUCCUCGUUCAACUUCACUGCCACAAGGUGAGAUGGGGAACGGAUGGGUGAGCGUACAAAUGAGGAGGUGCUGCAGAGCAGCCUCAGUGCACAAUGUGGGGCAAUGUAAGUCACCGAGUGCUGCCGUAGGAAGAGGUGGGAGGCUCUGGUUUGGCAGUUACUAUAGCAAUUAACCCAAGCCCAGGGUUCCCCUGGGUACAGCCCUGGUGGUGCCUGCAUGCUCGCUGCAGAUGGGUUGUUGUGGUGCUGG